rnacentral:lncRNA from 1 species
GGGUGCCCACCUUGAGCGCCCUGGCAGUGUACGGCUCCAUCACCCUCCUCAGAUCCAUGCUCAGCUGCCUCACGUUGCGCCCCACGCGCCCGCGGUGGAACACGAAGGAAUGGGGGACGGCCCCAAAGUCCUCCUCCGCCCGCAGCCGCGCCGCCGAGCGCUGCUUCUUCUGGUUCUUACUUUUGCUCGGCCGCCCCAUUUUGUCCUUCUCCUCUUCCACCACCACGCGGCUGCAGCCACUUCCGGCGGGUCUUCUGCCACU